rnacentral:rRNA from 3 species
UACGGAGGGCGCGAGCGUUACCCGGAUUUACUGGGCGUAAAGGGCGUGUAGGCGGCCUGGGGCGUCCCAUGUGAAAGGCCACGGCUCAACCGUGGAGGAGCGUGGGAUACGCUCAGGCUAGAGGGUGGGAGAGGGUGGUGGAAUUCCCGGAGUAGCGGUGAAAUGCGCAGAUACCGGGAGGAACGCCGAUGGCGAAGGCAGCCACCUGGUCCACUUCUGACGCUGAGGCGCGAAAGCGUGGGGAGCAAACCGG